rnacentral:rRNA from 1 species
AGGAUGAACGCUAGCGGGAGGCCUAACACAUGCAAGCCGAGCGGUAUAGUUCCUUCGGGGACUAGAGAGCGGCGUACGGGUGCGUAACACGUGUGCAACCUACCUUUAUCUGGGGGAUAGCCUUUCGAAAGGAAGAUUAAUACCCCAUAACAUACUGAAUGGCAUCAUUCGGUAUUGAAAACUCCGGUGGAUAGAGAUGGGCACGCGCAAGAUUAGAUAGUUGGUGGGUAACGGCCCACCAAGUCAGUGAUC